GAUUCCCAGAUAAAUGAAGUUGCUAAAAUGUUGUACCAGCAGGGUCUCACUGAGCUGAUUCACAGCUCCCCCAGUGAGCAGGUGGCGUAUCUCCUGGUGGAGAGGGCUUCCCUGCUUGAGAUGAAUCAGGAUCCUGGUGAUGGAGACCCAGAGAGUCGACUGAGGACCCACGCAGAACCACUGAACCCCGUCAUAUGUCGCCCACCCACAAGAGGUCCCCACGACCUUUACAAAGCUCCUGGAAGAAAUAUUUGGACUCCAUAAGACUUUGCAGAGCAAGCACACCUUCGUACCUUGAUACUAAUCUUGCCAGCAGCAGAUAAACUUUGCAUGACAGAAGUUCAAGGUCCAACACCACUCAUGCAUCUUUCUCCAGAUCGUAUCUCAAGGGUGGGGAGACACCUUUGGCCG